GAUGAACGCCGGCGGCGUGCUUAACACAUGCAAGUCGAACGAAGCACUUUAUUUGAUUUCCUUCGGGACUGAUUAUUUUGUGACUGAGUGGCGGACGGGUGAGUAACGCGUGGGUAACCUGCCUUGUACAGGGGGAUAACAGUUGGAAACGGCUGCUAAUACCGCAUAAGCGCACAGCAUCGCAUGAUGCAGUGUGAAAAACUCCGGUGGUAUAAGAUGGACCCGCGUUGGAUUAGCUAGUUGGUGAGGUAACGGCCCACCAAGGCGACGAUCCAUAGCCGACCUGAGAGGGUGACCGGCCACAUUGGGACUGAGACACGGCCCAAACUCCUACGGGAGGCAGCAGUGGGGAAUAUUGCACAAUGGGCGAAAGCCUGAUGCAGCGACGCCGCGUGAGCGAAGAAGUAUUUCGGUAUGUAAAGCUCUAUCAGCAGGGAAGAUAAUGACGGUACCUGACUAAGAAGCACCGGCUAAAUACGUG
rnacentral:rRNA from 1 species